rnacentral:rRNA from 1 species
UCUUGGUCAUUUAGAGGAAGUAAAAGUCGUAACAAGGUCUCCGUAGGUGAACCUGCGGAGGGAUCAUUACCGAGCUCAUGCCUUACGGGUAGACCUCCCACCCUAUGUUAUCACUACCUUUGUUGCUUUGGCGGGCCGCCAGGCUUCGGUCAGGCUAUCGGCUUCGGCUGGUAAGCGCCCGCCAGAGGACCCCAACAUCCUGAUUAUUAGUGUCGUCUGAGUACUAUGYAAUAGUUAAAACUUUCAACAACGGAUCUCUUGGUUCUGGCAUCGAUGAAGAACGCAGCGAAAUGCGAUAAGUAAUGUGAAUUGCAGAAUUCAGUGAAUCAUCGAAUCUUUGAACGCACAUUGCGCCCCUUGGUAUUCCGAGGGGCAUGCCUGUUCGAGCGUCAUUACAACCCUUCAAGCAUUGCUUGGUGUUGGGCUCCGCUGCUCACCCAGCGGGCCUUAAAAUCAGUGGCGGUGCCGUCGGGCCCUGAGCGUAGUAAAUMUCCUCGCUACAGGGACCCGGUGGACGCUGGCCAUCAACCCCUCACUUUCUAAGUUUGACCUCGGAUCAGGUAGGGAUACCCGCUGAACUUAAGCAUAUCA